rnacentral:snoRNA from 15 species
ACGGUCUGGGGACGGCUCCUGCAUGGCUGGACCCGCCCAGCAGUGGGUGCAGUCCCACCCUGACCUAGAGCAAAUGCUGGGGUGCUCCCCUGGGCUUGAAACUUGCAGUAACAGGUGUGAACAUUCUAGUAAGUAGUUUGAUGAUCAUGUAUGCUACUGCAAACAGGG